ACGGGAGGCAGCAGUGGGGGAUAUUGCACAAUGGAGGAAACUCUGAUGCAGCAACGCCGCGUGAGGGAAGACGGUCUUCGGAUUGUAAACCUAAGUUGUCAGGGACGAAACAAAUGACGGUACCUGAAAAGAAAGCUCCGGCUAACUACGUGCCAGCAGCCGCGGUAAUACGUAGGGAGCGAGCGUUGUCCGGAUUUACUGGGUGUAAAGGGUGCGUAGGCGGGUUUGCAAGUCAGGCGUGAAAUACCGGGGCUUAACUCCGGAGCUGCGCUUGAAACUGUAGAUCUUGAGUGAAGUAGAGGCAAGCGGAAUUCCUAGUGUAGCGGUGAAAUGCGUAGAUAUUAGGAGGAACACCAGUGGCGAAGGCGGCUUGCUGGGCUUUAACUGACGCUGAGGCACGAAAGUAUGGGGAGCAAACAGGAUUAGAUACCCUGGUA
rnacentral:rRNA from 2 species